AGAGUAUAGCUCUGUGGUAGAGUGCAUACCUAGCAUGCAUCAGGCCUGGGUUCAAUCCCCAGUACCUCCA
rnacentral:tRNA from 1 species